rnacentral:ncRNA from 1 species
GGGAGGGGCCAAAUAUUUUUCCUCCUUAGAUCUGGAGUCGGGGUAUCAUUAGAUACGCAUGGCGCGGGAGGACCGGUGGAAGACCGCGUUCCGUUCUGUGCUCGGCCUUUUCGAGUAUAAGGUGAUGCCUUUCGCCCUGAAGGGCGCACCUGCAACAUUCCAAGCAAACAUCAACUAUUAUCUACAACCAUUCUUGGGGCAAGGGGUGAUAGCCUAUUUGGAUGAUAUUCUUAUCUACAGCUCUGAUUUACCCAGCCACGCCACUCUAUUGGAACAAGUUCUAAGUAUCCUGCAAAAGAAUUACUUCUUUCCUAAGUUCAGCAAAUGUGAGUUCGCAAAGAAAGAACUCACUUACCUUGGGUACACAGUCAGCGCAGAAGGAAUCAAACCCGCCGCAGACAAGGUUGCAGCCGUUCAACAGUGGCCGGUUACAAGAAGGGUAGUCUCCAAAUCGAAUUAACAGCUCCUACAGUUGCAAGAUAAACACUCUGCAGCUGAUUUAAAAACCUGAAUUAGUAUAUAUACUAUCAUUCCGCAUAUAGGGAGUUCACGACUCUAGUUAUGAGGGUGCCUGUGAAUAUAAACCGCAGUAGCGUCGGAUAUUUCACAUUUCAACACGUAGUGCAAAAACCUCUUUGAUGCACAGGCUAAACAUGUCUCCGUUUCGGAAAGAGUUCCCUUAUUAAAAGCUAUGAGUUACUUCAGGUUGCAAGUCUGCUGCUGCCUCAAAUAAUCUGUGAGGAAGUAUACACUUCAGUCAAGAAGAAACCUCGCACGUCUGAACCAUCCUUGUACUUAUGGUUAAAGCACUAGCAAACACGCCCUUAAUGGUGGCGGGAGAAGCAGCCAGUGACGGCGAAUUAAUACCGUGAGCGGGAGAACUGCUCUGGCUGGAGAAACACGAACCUUGCAAUAUUGCCAGCCAGAACCAUGCGAUGCCAGAACAUUAGUCUUUGAUGCCACAAAUGCAGCAGCCGAAGCAGCAAAAUGUGGCACAGGCAAUAGCCUCGGAAAUAACUUACAAAACGCCGGCAACUACUGUCGCAGAGAGGCGAUACAUGCAGCAGCGGCGAGUCACAACAAGAGAGCAGAAACAACUCAAAUAGCAGGGGGAAAAGCUUGCUUGAUUUUGAUUUUCAGUACGAAUACAAACUGUGAAAGCAUGGCCUAUCGAUCCUUUAGGUCUGAGAAACUUUCAGCUAGAGGUGUCAGAAAAGUUACCACAGGGAUAACUGGCUUGUGGCAGCCAAGCGUUCAUAGCGACGUUGCUUUUUGAUCCUUCGAUGUCGGCUCUUCCUAUCAUGCGUUGGGUGCGGUCCUGGAGCAGGAGGGAAAACCAAUCGGGUUCCUGAGCCAAACAAUGAACGCCGCGCAGCAGAAGUACUCAAUCUAUGAUCAGGAACUAUUGGCACUGGUUACCGCUUUGGACAAGUGGUCUCACC